rnacentral:rRNA from 1 species
UACAGAGGUCCCAAGCGUUGUUCGGAUUCACUGGGCGUAAAGGGUAUGUAGGUGGCGGGGUAAGUCGGAUGUGAAAGCUCGGAGCUCAACUCCGAAAUGGCAUUGGAAACUACCUUGCUCGAGGGUUGGAGGGGGGACUGGAAUUCUCGGUGUAGCAGUGAAAUGCGUAGAUAUCGAGAGGAACACCAGUGGCGAAGGCGAGUCCCUGGACAACUCCUGACACUGAGGCACGAAAGCUAGGGGAGCAAACAGG